rnacentral:rRNA from 1 species
UACGAAGGGGGCUAGCGUUGUUCGGAUUUACUGGGCGUAAAGCGCACGUAGGCGGAUUGUUAAGUCAGGGGUGAAAUCCCGGAGCUCAACUCCGGAACUGCCUUUGAUACUGGCAAUCUUGAGGCUGGAAGAGGUUAGUGGAAUUCCCAGUGUAGAGGUGAAAUUCGUAGAUAUUGGGAAGAACACCAGUGGCGAAGGCGGCAUCCUGGACCGGCAUUGACGCUGAGGCGCGAAAGCCAGGGGAGCAAACGGG